rnacentral:misc_RNA from 1 species
GAUGAAGAACGUAGCGAAAUGCGAUAAGUAAUGUGAAUUGCAGAAUUCAUUGAAUCAUCGAAUCUUUGAACGCACAUUGCGCCCGCCAGUAUUCUGGCGGGCAUGCCUGUUCGAGCGUCAUUACAACCCUCAGGCCCCCGGGCCUGGCGUUGGGGAUCGGCGGAGCCCCCCGUGGGCACACGCCGUCCCCCAAAUGCAGUGGCGGUCCCGCCGCAGCUUCCAUCGCGUAGUAGCUAACACCUCGCGACUGGAGAGCGGCGCGGCCACGCCGUAAAACACCCAACUCUUCUGAAGUUGACCUCGAAUCAGGUAGGAAUACCCGCUGAACUUAAGCAUAUCAAUAAGCGGAGGA